CCGAAGACGAACUCGUUUCCGAGACCACCCAACUCUCUCAGUGCCCUGGGACAAGCCAGCACCCGCCGCCGUCGCUUCCUUCCCCAGGCCUACCAGAUGUAACCUUCAGUUGUUUUCCUGGAUGAGAUCAAUGCUCUUGCUCCCAUAUGUGCCAGUAAACAAGACCAGGUUCAUAGGUGGGACAUGUCUUGUCAUCAAGACAUGUCCCAAGACAUGUCAUCAAGAAGACUACAACCUAUUUAACUUGCUGUGACACCUUCAUUGAACCUGACAAGUAGUAAUUCAGUGCUAGUGAAUUUCAGAUUAUUUUUAAAUGAGAAUUGAAAACAAUUCACUAAGCUUGAAAUCAGCCCAAGCUCUGUAUUAUCUUGUCUGUAUUUAAUGUCUUAAAAUGAGUCUUUUGCAAAUCAGCAUAUUUUCAUUAAAAGCUUGUCCUUUUUGAGGGAUCGGUGGAAAUGGUUAUGUGGAACUGAAGAAAAUUUACUAAACCAGUGAAUGAAAAUCAUAUUUUUCUGUUAGCUCAGUUGUUGGAACACUUCUGGCACUAAUGGAUGGCUUUGCCAGCAGAAAGGUUGUGGUAAUCAGAUCCCAUUCUGGCAGAGCCAUUUCAAGAUGGAGGAUGACACUCAUGGAGGAGCACCACGUUGCAAUGUCUUGGUUUUGGGUCCGUUCUUGCUUGCUCAAACUCUUUGCAGAAAUCAGAAGCAAUUUAAUUGUCCCACACUCCUCAGUGCCUCCUGCUGCACACCGUAUUCCUGCAGCGGUGCCAUACAGGACUUCCUGCUGAGCCCCACUGUUGUGUUUUCCAGGAGCUCACCUGCAACUGCAAAUUUUCUUCAACUUCUGGAUUUCUCAUUCCCACAAUUUCUUCCAUAAAGAAGAUCUGCACUCACCCCAGCUUUCCCACACCAGCACUCUGUGUCUCUUGGGACUCAGUGCCUGCUCCAGGGGGCAAGCCUGGAGUAACAAGGGUGGUCUGAGUCAGGGGGUGUCCCUGCAGCCUCCUCAUGGCUCCAGUCCUAUCCUGUCAUGUUCAGGCAGCACAUGAGAGGACACUAGACUGAAACUAGCACUAGAAGCUGGAAAUUAGAUCAAGGUGCUCCAGCCCCAGCUGUCCCUGGACCGGGACAAUUCCUGUCCUCCCUGUCCACAAGAAGAGACAGUGCAUGGUGUUAAAAAACCACUAUGGAAUGGUCCUGGAGUGACUGGGAGAGACUGAAGGCAACCAGGGAGACACAAGGUGACAUAGGAGCUUCUCCAAGGAUGUUGAUUCCAACCCAGGGACCCUGGAAUCCCAUGCUACAUUCCAACCUACUGCCCCAUAUACACACCCUUUGGGGACCAUACCCUGGCAAGCUCAUCCCAGCACCCUGUGCCUGCUGAGCCAGCAUUCCUGAGACCCCCCACUCAACCAGCACUGUUCCACCACUGUGUCCCUGCCUUAAUCAGUAAAUGCUGGACUGAUGCCAGAGGGAUGUGUGUUUCCUGAGUGUCCCCAUGCACUGGCUCUGUGUCCUUUGGUGUCGAGUCCAGUCAGAACACACCUAUGUCUUGAUGGGUUUGUGUCUCCUAUGGAUCUGCAUGUUCAACACUAGCACAUAUCUCCAGGGAUGGAAGGACUGAUGAAUGAGAAACUGAGUAACUUUUAAAUCAUCUGUCAUUCUGUAAAGUGACAAGAUUUCACCUGUUGAUCAUAUUUCUCUUUUUCUUUGCUCUUCUUUUGUUUUUCCCCCAUGUUUGUGGUUUUACCUCUUUUCCAGUGCUUUUCCAUUUCCAGUGCUUUGGUGUCUGUGCUGCUGCUGCUUUUUCUUUCUCUUUUUCUUGCUGCCUUGACUCUCCAGCACUGGCACUGCUACUCUGCCUUCCAGCUUGACUCUCCAAAGGCUGAGGCUACAUUUAUCUGCACACACAAAAUAAAUUACAUUAAUUCAAACAGU